rnacentral:rRNA from 1 species
UGGGGAAUCUUGGACAAUGGGGGCAACCCUGAUCCAGCGACGCCGCGUGGGUGGUAAGGCCUUCGGGUUGUAAAGCCCUUUCAGCGGGGAAGAUGAUGACAUUACCCGCAGAAGAAGCGCCGGCUAACUCCGUGCCAGCAGCCGCGGUAAGACGGAGGGCGCUAGCGUUGUUCGGAAUCACUGGGCGUAAAGGGCGCGUAGGCGGCUGUUUAAGUCGGGGGUGAAAGCCCGGGGCUCAACCUCGGAACGGCCUUCGAGACUGGACGGCUAGAGACCGGAAGAGGAGGGUGGAAUACCCAGUGUAGAGGUGAAAUUCGUAGAUAUUGGGUAGAACACCAGUGGCGAAAGCGGCUCUCUGGUCCGGGUCUGACGCUGAGGCGCGAAAGCGUGGGGAGCAAACA